rnacentral:rRNA from 1 species
CGGGACACGUGGUAUCCUGUCUGAAUAUGGGGGGACCAUCCUCCAAGGCUAAAUACUCCUGACUGACCGAUAGUGAACCAGUACCGUGAGGGAAAGGCGAAAAGAACCCCGGCGAGGGGAGUGAAAAAGAACCUGAAACCGUGUACGUACAAGCAGUGGGAGCACGCUUAGGCGUGUGACUGCGUACCUUUUGUAUAAUGGGUCAGCGACUUAUAUUCUGUAGCAAGGUUAACCGAAUAGGGGAGCCGAAGGGAAACCGAGUCUUAACUGGGCGUUAAGUUGCAGGGUAUAGACCCGAAACCCGGUGAUCUAGCCAUGGGCAGGUUGAAGGUUGGGUAACACUAACUGGAGGACCGAACCGACUAAUGUUGAAAAAUUAGCGGAUGACUUGUGGCUGGGGGUGAAAGGCCAAUCAAACCGGGAGAUAGCUGGUUCUCCCCGAAAGCUAUUUAGGUAGCGCCUCGUGAAUUCAUCUCCGGGGGUAGAGCACUGUUUCGGCAAGGGGGUCAUCCCGACUUACCAACCCGAUGCAAACUGCGAAUACCGGAGAAUGUUAUCACGGGAGACACACGGCGGGUGCUAACGUCCGUCGUGAAGAGGGAAACAACCCAGACCGCCAGCUAAGGUCCCAAAGUCAUGGUUAAGUGGGAAACGAUGUGGGAAGGCCCAGACAGCCAGGAUGUUGGCUUAGAAGCAGCCAUCAUUUAAAGAAAGCGUAAUAGCUCACUGGUCGAGUCGGCCUGCGCGGAAGAUGUAACGGGGCUAAACCAUGCACCGAAGCUGCGGCAGCGACGCUGAUGCGUUGUUGGGUAGGGGAGCGUUCUGUAAGCCUGUGAAGGUGUGCUGUGAGGCAUGCUGGAGGUAUCAGAAGUGCGAAUGCUGACAUAAGUAACGAUAAAGCGGGUGAAAAGCCCGCUCGCCGGAAGACCAAGGGUUCCUGUCCAACGUUAAUCGGGGCAGGGUGAGUCGACCCCUAAGGCGAGGCCGAAAGGCGUAGUCGAUGGGAAACAGGUUAAUAUUCCUGUACUUGGUGUUACUGCGAAGGGGGGACGGAGAAGGCUAUGUUGGCCGGGCGACGGUUGUCCCGGUUUAAGCGUGUAGGCUGGUUUUCCAGGCAAAUCCGGAAAAUCAAGGCUGAGGCGUGAUGACGAGGCACUACGGUGCUGAAGCAACAAAUGCCCUGCUUCCAGGAAAAGCCUCUAAGCAUCAGGUAACAUCAAAUCGUACCCCAAACCGACACAGGUGGUCAGGUAGAGAAUACCAAGGCGCUUGAGAGAACUCGGGUGAAGGAACUAGGCAAAAUGGUGCCGUAACUUCGGGAGAAGGCACGCUGAUAUGUAGGUGAAGCGACUUGCUCGUGGAGCUGAAAUCAGUCGAAGAUACCAGCUGGCUGCAACUGUUUAUUAAAAACACAGCACUGUGCAAACACGAAAGUGGACGUAUACGGUGUGACGCCUGCCCGGUGCCGGAAGGUUAAUUGAUGGGGUCAGCGCAAGCGAAGCUCUUGAUCGAAGCCCCGGUAAACGGCGGCCGUAACUAUAACGGUCCUAAGGUAGCGAAAUUCCUUGUCGGGUAAGUUCCGACCUGCACGAAUGGCGUAAUGAUGGCCAGGCUGUCUCCACCCGAGACUCAGUGAAAUUGAACUCGCUGUGAAGAUGCAGUGUACCCGCGGCAAGACGGAAAGACCCCGUGAACCUUUACUAUAGCUUGACACUGAACAUUGAGCCUUGAUGUGUAGGAUAGGUGGGAGGCUUUGAAGUGUGGACGCCAGUCUGCAUGGAGCCGGCCUUGAAAUACCACCCUUUAAUGUUUGAUGUUCUAACGUUGACCCGUGAUCCGGGUUGCGGACAGUGUCUGGUGGGUAGUUUGACUGGGGCGGUCUCCUCCUAAAGAGUAACGGAGGAGCACGAAGGUUGGCUAAUCCUGGUCGGACAUCAGGAGGUUAGUGCAAUGGCAUAAGCCAGCUUGACUGCGAGCGUGACGGCGCGAGCAGGUGCGAAAGCAGGUCAUAGUGAUCCGGUGGUUCUGAAUGGAAG